AGUUAGGGUUGGCAGUAGCAAUUGAGCCCCAUCCGCUCUAGGGUUUGGAGUUUUGUCGUAGACGAGCUCUUCCAUUCACUUUCUCAAUACCUUCCAAUAUGGAACUCGGGAUUACUGCUCUUCAUAUCAAGCUCCGUGCAACUGGGGGAAACAAAACGAAGACCCCUGGGCUUGGGGCGCAAUCUGCACUUCGAGCCCUUGCUAGAUCUGGAAUGAGGAUUGGUCGCAUAGUUAUUCAGCUAUUGUAAGGUGUUGUUUAGCAUUGGUUGCGGAGGAUGGAACACCAAUUCCUACGGAUAGCACUCGAAGAAAGGGCGGACGAAGAGGGAGCAGGCUUUGAUUUCUGCUUUCCUUUUUAUCCUUCUAUGCUCGCCACCCAAAUUAAGUUUUCGAACUUUUUGCUGUGGACCUUAGAUGGUGAUGCAUGUCAUAUUACUUGCUGUGCUUCCUUCAAAUCGUAUUCAUAUCAACAAGCAAUUCAUGCGAUUAUGAUUUUGUUAAACUUGCACCCAAGCUUGUGAAAACUUACACGUCAGCCGUGAGUGAGUGUGUAUCAUAUUAUUCAGGGUGCUCUACUCUCCACUAUUUUUGUGGCAAAAAUGCUAAAUGCUAACACAAAGCAUGCUGUGGUUUA